UACGGGGGGGGCAAGCGUUGUUCGGAAUUACUGGGCGUAAAGGGCUCGUAGGCGGCCAACUAAGUCGGAUGUGAAAUCCCCAGGCUCAACUUGGGAACUGCAUCCGAUACUGGAUGGCUUGAAUUCGGGAGAGGGAUGCAGAAUUCCAGGUGUAGCGGUGAAAUGCGUAGAUAUCAGGAGGAACACCGGUGGCGAAGGCGGGUCUCUGGGCCGUAACUGACGCUGAGGAGCGAAAGCGUGGGGAGCGAACAGG
rnacentral:rRNA from 1 species